rnacentral:rRNA from 1 species
AACCUUCGCAAUGCGGGAAACCGCGACGAGGGGACUCCCAGUGCCUACGCUCAGCGUAGGCUGUUCCCGAGCYUAAAARGCUCGGGGAAUAAGGG